AUGCCUUAAACUUAUGAGUAAGGAAAAUAACCCGGGCAACACCUGGGUCCUCACUGCCGAUGUGAGGCAAAUUUUUGCGAGGGUAAAAAUCUGCCCCUGUGUGACGCCUUACUUUGCGGGAUGCCCGCAGGGUGCAAUCUGCCCG